UUUUUUUUUUGGGUCUCCUCUCUCUCUGAGAAGGAGAAGAAGUGAAGAACUCCAUUACAGGGAAGAGACUUCUGAAUCUUCUCCUCCAAUCUCCAUUACUUACCACCUCUCGAUCCAGAAGAAGAAGGAGAAAUUGUUAACCAAGGGUGUUGAAUCAGUUGAUUCAGUUCUCAUAUUUUGUUUUUGGAACCUAGGGUUUUGAAGUAGUGUUGACUUGUAUUCUAAUAAUUCUAUUUCUAUCUAAUAAUUCUACCUUCCUUGAUAUUGGAUCAGAUUUGUAAUUAAGAAAUCAAAAAGAUUUCUUCCUUUUCUACAAGAGUUGAUUGAUUUGGAUUGGAUUGUAUUUCCACCAAACUGCUUUACUGAGUCCUAUCAAAAACAAUGCCACAAGUGCAGCCAUGGAAUAGAUCUCCACAACCACUUCACCACCAAUGCUACAACUUCAACUAACUUUCUAUUAGUUGUUAAGAUAGUAAAACUUAAGAAUUAAGACUAUUAUAGUAUUGUAACUAUUGUUGUGUGCUACUUGGUAUUUUGUCAGUUUGUGUGCUAUUGCUACUUGUCAAGACUUUGGUUGUUUGGCACUUUGGUUUGCUAGUAUUGUUGCUACUUUUGGGUUGUUACUUUGUUCUUUGAUUUA